GCUUUGCGAUUCGUUAAAAGCUGACCUCGAAACGACCAAAAUGUCAAUGUCCCUACAUUCAAGCAGGGUCGUUAAAUGACGAACAUGCAGCAUAUCCUGGCGUUCGCGCACGCCGGAAACAAACUAAAAAACACUUUUGCAAAUCGCUGACACAAUAACGACGCAUAUCAGACACGCGCACGCACGCACGCACGCACGCGCGCGCGCACACACACACACACACACACACAGAACACAAGCAGUGUCCGAAAGCACUCGCGACAGACAGUGCGGACGUUCUCGCGCGUUGGCAAAUCGAGCCGGCGUGGCAGCAGCGUCCGAUGCACAGACGGCACUCUUCAUGAACUAUACACAUCCGCAAAACGGCACACAAGCCAGAACAAAGUGCGUCGACGACGCCACUCGACACCAAAUGCGUGGUCGAUACCGCCGCAUAAAACACCAACACCUCGUAGAAUUCACAAACCAAACCACGAUAUGCUGCGAUUUAACGGCCCUGACCGGUUGAUACGGCUGCUCCGCAGGUUGCUGUCCUCGAUGUUGAAAGAAACGUUGUUGAAACACGCCGCAUCACUCGCAUAACAUGUGAAUACCAGCCGCCACCAUCGAUGCGAUCACGAUUACCAUGGAGCACCGUGCCGAUACAGUGGUGCCGAGGAGCCAGAGACCAACGUUGCCUGAGACGACAAAACGGUAGACGACGAUGUAAACAAUAUGGCCGCCAUGACGUUUAUCCGGCUCUUGCAAAGCUUCCGGUGCCUCUAUCUUGACGAAAUGACAUCAUUUUUCCGUGUUCGGCUGUCAAAAUGUUCCCAGUCUAGACACGUUGGGCUGUCGGUAUGUGAGCGCAGCAUGAAUAUUUUCCUUGCGGACGGUCGAUGUGGUAGUUUAAUCAUAUUUACGCUUUGCCGAGAGAAAAUGUGCUCUUUUUUGUGCGCAUCAGCGAUCGCUAAACCCCUGGGCCUGUGCAACGCUGCUAGCUAGCUGUAUCUCUCGUGCGGUGCGGCGUUGUUGGUUAUCGUAGUUCGGUCCAUUCGUGCUCUUUGUUCCCGGCACAUUAGCAGCCUCUGGUACUCUCGCCGAUCUCGCAGCGGUUCACAGUGCACGGAAGAAUGUGUUGGAAAUUGUACUAUUACGUUCAUCCGCAAUUUAACAGUGUUUAUGCCGGCAGGACAGUUCGUGCAGUCGAUGCCGCCGGACCUGACACGAAGGAGCGUUUGCCGAGUAUGUCUCGAAAGGUAAGUCCGGCGCUUGGCGCAUUUUUAUAGUUCGUGUAGUGUGCCUUGUUAGGCGGAGCACAAGAUGAUUAGUACAGCGACAAAAAUUAUAAAAGUGAUUUCCUAAUGUUUGUUAUUAAUGCCGUAGUACACAUUUAGCAAAACGUUUUAUGAAAAUUACCCUCAGACAAGUAUAGAAUGUUGCCAAGAGCUUCAUAUAUUGUUUCUUUGCUUUCUGUUAUGAAAUACACUAGCGCCGAGUAUCGUUUAGUCUGAACGGGCACAAAAAUUGAUGCCGCGAAUGUCACUGCUUCUGUACGUAAUUUCUCAGCAAGAAAUGGUAUAUGUGGUGAAGUACGUUGACGUGUUGUCUUCACAGCUAACAUCUGCGCGAGACGGCACCGGAUUGCUCUGUCUGACUCAUGAGCACAUUUUAGCUUGUAUGCAAUUUUUUCUGCUUAUAUAUUGUCAAGACAACCUGUGUUUCUUGUGUUGAGUGUUCUGUAUGUCUUCGUCCAUUUGACAGGUUAAAUAACUGCCCGUGAUGUCAGAAUGAGAUAUUUGCACAACCAUGUAGCUGGCUGAGGUCUUUUCACAAUUUAACGCGAUGUUGUUAAAUCACAAGUUUGCAGUUUCAGCAGUAAUUGCAAUAAACUGAACAUUUCUUAUUGUUUAGGGAUGUCACGAUUUCGGGAGACGGAUGCAAUCUCUGCACCACAUGGGAGCCUGUGGCAAAAUGCAGUCUGAGCAGCCCGACAAGGAAUCUGAUCUGCUUGCUUUGACAAGGUAUGGCUGGGCCUGCAGAGAAAGUGUAAGCAGACUGUGCUGUGUUGCUGAUCAGUGCUGAUCUCCACGCCUGAGUUGGUCCCACAACAUCCAGGCACCAGCGUGCUUUGCUUCAUCAUUGACAAGGUGCGCGGCAAGCUCUCACUCAAGCAACACAUUCCAGUGGUCUUCUGUCAACAGACUGGGUCUAUUGAAGUACCAUUACAAGGUCCAAUAAACAACGCUUGCGA